GAUGAACGCUGGCGGCGUGCUUAACACAUGCAAGUCGAACGAAGCACUUUAUUUGAUUUCCUUCGGGACUGAUUAUUUUGUGACUGAGUGGCGGACGGGUGAGUAACGCGUGGGUAACCUGCCUUGUACAGGGGGAUAACAGUUGGAAACGGCUGCUAAUACCGCAUAAGCGCACGGCAUCGCAUGAUGCAGUGUGAAAAACUCCGGUGGUAUAAGAUGGACCCGCGUUGGAUUAGCUAGUGGGUGAGGUAACGGCACACCAAGGCGACGAUCCAUAGCCGACCUGAGAGGGUGACCGGCCACAUUGGCACUGAGACACGGCCCAAACUCUUACGGAAGGCAGCAGUGGAGAAUAUUGCACAAUGGGCGAAAGCCUGAUGCAGCCACGCCGCGUGAGCGAAGAAGUAUUUCGGUAUGUAAAGCUCUAUCAGCAGGGAAGAUAAUGACGGUACCUGACUAAGAAGCACCGGCUAACUACGUG
rnacentral:rRNA from 1 species